rnacentral:lncRNA from 1 species
CUUUUUUUCUCCUCUUGAAUUAAUAUAAAACUCCAUUUGGUAACGGAGGCAUAUGGAAUGCAAAAUCCAAGAAUGACACUCACCCCUCUUGAAUUAAUACCAAACUCUGUUUGAUAAUGGAGACAUACGGUCACUCCUCUUGAAUUAAUACCAAACUCCAUUUGGUAAGGUAAUUAUACAGAAAGGCAAAGUCAAGAACGAAGGUGAGAGAAUUUGGAAAUUCAUGUGGAGUUUUCUCUAUUUCAGGUAUGUUAAGGCUAAGCCCUUCUUUCAUUUUGACAUGAUCUCGUAAUUGCAUAUGUGUGAUAAUGACUCAUAAAGAGAAGCUAAUACUCCCUAACUUAUAUAAAUGAUCCUAGUCUCAUAAGUUACAAUAUUCACCCUUAUCAGAAUUUCAUAUUCAAUUGAGUAUUAUCUUCUUCCAGUUAACAAAAGCAGAGAGCCUAUAUAUACAAUUGUAUAAUAUUUUCAUUGCCAUCGAGAUAUAAUCGAUGCGCAGGCCCCUAUUGGGCAACCUCUGAUCAGAUGGUAAGUUAUAUAUCGAGCCUAUUAUAACCGAGUGCCUAUGAGCGAUCCCUGUUGGCUACAAAGCCUAGCAUGGCCGAGUGCCUAUGAGCGAGCCUACUACGGAAGAGCAAUUUUAUAUACCGAGCCUUAUAAGGCCGGACAACUAUUUUACUUACUAUAUUGAGAGAGUUGAGUUAGUAUCAACAGGUAAACAUAUCUUCAAAUUAUCUUUGACCCGCAGUUACUUUCACUUAUAUUAUCACUUAAGUUUCAACUUUCAGUAUAUUGCAUUACAUACUCGGUAUAUUAUUCUGUACUGACGUCUUUUUACUAGGAGCGCUGCAUUUCACGCAUGCAGGUUCAGAUAGACAGACAGGUAGACUUCUUCAUUAGGUGUUGCCCAAGUUCAUCUUGAUCGGAAAGCUCCAUGCCCUUCAGUGUUGCCGAGUCCAGAGCUUUAUGUACAUCUUAUAAUAUGUAUAUAUGUUAUGAGUAGGUUGGGACCCUGUUCCGUUUACAGUAUAUCCAUCGAUAGAGGCUUGUAGACAUAUCCUGGCAGUUGGUACAGUAUGUUGGAUUUCUAGGCCUUUUAUGUAUAUUUUGUUGGUUUUGCCAUAUGUAGUAGUUAUGAUGGCCUUAUCGGCACAGCUUUAUAUUAAUAGUUAGUCUGCAUUCGCAAUUGUCUUACAAUAUGUCUCAUGGCCAAUGUAUGACCUUAUAUGUUCGGAGUCCGUUAGUCGCAAGUUGAUACGUAAGAAUAAGAGAGGCACUGGGUGCCGGUCUCGGCAGCCAAGUUUGGGGCGUGACAUUAUUGAUCUUUAUGGACAUCACAGGCUCCUGCCAAGGGCCUUGGAGGAUGGAGUGCAGGGAGUGCAUGUUAGUGAUCCAAGUAUUGGUUAGGAAGUUUACCCUAUUCCCUUUUUGGACUACCAAGCUAGAGACUUUUGUGCAUACCUUCCAACUGUCAUGCAUGCAUUGCCAUGUCCUAGUUGUUGGUUUUUCCCUCGUCUUAUUCCCACUAUAAUGUUUAUCCAUUAGGACUCUAGCUCAGAGUGAGUCGAUGUUGUGAAACAAUCUCCAUGCUAGACUGGUGUGACUUGUCCUAUUCUGCAUUUCAGCUUUUUGUAAACCCAGGCCCCUUAGUUUUUGGCUUGGUCACUGUGUCCCAUUUAAUUAUGUGGAGUUUCGUUUUCUCAGAGGUGGUGCCC